UCUGGAAGUGUUCCGGUUCUUUCUCAGCCGGUAGAUUCCUCUUCCGGGUCUUCUGUUUCUUUUAUAUAUUUUAAUUUUUACUUUGAUUAGGGCGUGUUUAUAGGAGCUUGUGAUGGCGUCCGUCAUGAAGGGAGCAGGGGACACAGCUGGUUCCUUCUAUUCCCGGCUCUCGGCCCCUUCCCAUCUGUAAGAGGUCUGUCUCCUGUCCCCGAGCAUUUCUUUCCGUGUCUCCCACGAGGAAGAUGACAGACUCCUCCCACAGGAGCGGCCUCCACGGCCGUGGCAGGGAAGGUGGUGCGGCCUGGGCGUGAGGUCAGUCUGUGUUCGCUCUGCUCCUUCUCGGUGGGACCACGUCCCUCGUGAGCCUGCACCCCGGGGAUCUGAGUCCACGCCACUCGAGCUGUUGUCCUGGCGUCAAACCGGGUCCUCUGCACUGAGCUCCAUCACAGCCCUUUUAUCUGAGACAGGGCCUCCCUGCAUUGCCCAGCCUGGGUGGAGCUUGCAGUCCUCCUGCCUCAGCCUCCCAGGCAGAGUGCCAGGUGAAGGAGUGUGCCACUUCCCCGUUCCACGCUGAGACAGAUGAGCAAUCCGGAACAGAACAGCGAGGGCCGGUUCCGCUGCCCCAGGCCACACUGGGAGGGGGAGAGGCCACAGGAGGGAGCUGAAAGCCCACCAGCUUAAGCCACUGGGCUGCCCCUCACCUGCAUUUUGCGGAUCAGGCGGCUGGUUCAGAGAGGCUGCCCGGGGUGCCUGGAGACACACAGCCAGUGAGAAGCCUCGGGGCCCAGAUCUGAGCUCAAGUGGUGGAGGGCGUGACGGAGAUGGUGGCCAGCUGUGGGUCCUCAGGUCUGUGCCCAGCUCCGAGCUGGCCACGUCCAAGGUGGGGACCUGCCGCCAUGGGCUCUGAUGCAGGACCUAUGGCUGUGCCCAGGAAAGCAAGUGACCAGGGCACUGAGGAAAACACAUCCUGUCUGCUCCCCAAAGAGAAUGACAUGACCAGUGUCCCCUGUCCAUCUGCUGGUGCCCACUGGCCCUAACCUAGGCACCUUUCCCAGCUGGAGACUUUUAUUUUUGUUUUUGGAGACAGGGUCUCACUAUAUUUUCCGGGCUGGCCUUAAACUCACCGUGUUGCCUAGGCUGUUCUUGGACUCAUAGAGAUCCGCCUGCCUCAGCCUCCUGAGGAGCCGGGCCUGCAGUGUGCACGCAGCCCUGUGCUUUCUCAGCUCAUUCAUGUGUCCUCUUGGGGUCUGAGAAAGGCUGGGCGUGGGUGAGCAGCUCGGGCGAAGUGACUCGGGCCGGCGAGGAGGACAUGGAGCCUUCCGCACAGAGAGCCUGCAUUCCUCGCCGGGUCCCUGCCGAGCCCUGCUCCGCAGCAAGUCCCCGAGCUGGCAGACAGAUGGACGGAGGGACCGAGCUGCCUCCCCAACAAGCACGGGCUCGCUCUCUGCAGAGGCUGAAUUCUAACUGACAAAUUGGAGAGGUUCCCCGAGGCGAGGGCUCUCGAGAGAGCGCUGUCAUCCUCGCUGAAGUGUGAUUUAUAACACACUCCUAUUUGCCAGAGCCGCCUGCUCCCGGGAAGGGCGCCGGGCACGGGAGCAGGAGGUCUCCGAGUCCUGACCCCAAGCUGAGACAGCUCCGUGGACGCGGUCUUCUGGUGCAGAGGGACUGGACCGGGAAGCCUAGACUGACCCGUGAGGGGCCACCCAGUUCAUUAGGACAGGGCAGCAGUGGCCUGCAGCUGGCUUUGGGGUUCCGUGUUCUGGUGGACAGAUCUAAGGUCUCACGGAAGAGGCGGUUUGGAGCUGAGGUGGUGUUCAGUGGCUGACCUUGGGGUUUAGUGCCCGGCCCCAGUGUAGCGGGGGCAGGGAGAAAGAGACUGAGGAAGAAGGAGGAGAGAACGGGGGAAGAGCUUGUGUUCCCCAGCAGCUGGGGCUCCCCGUAACCUGAGGGUGACGCGGGCAGCAUCAGAUCCCAGGCUCUGCGCCUGCAGCCCGGACCCUCACAGCGCCUGUGAAGCCACAGGAAAGCAGGGGCAGCGGCUGACCCCUCUGGGCAGCCUGGUGGAAGCUGCCACCUCAUUUUGCCCGAGAUAACCAGAAACACUCUAAGCGGAGUGGGCAGACCCGGAUUUGAUCUCCGCAUCUGACUGUUUAGCAGAAGUCAAGCAGCCGAUUUUCAACAAUGUCUUCCGUAUCCUGCAACUUCCUAAAAUCUCCAAGGGCGUAACCUGAGCUCGUGAAAACUGAUCUCGAAUGUCAGGGGGCCACAACCGCCCUUCCGAGUUGGCCCUUCUGAGUUGUAAUUAGGGACGUGGGAGCGGCCUUUCGCAUUUGACUUGACACGGCUUUUCCUCUGUUCCGCUGCUUUGGAGGGCGUUCGCAGGGUUUCACCAUUUCUUUGUUAAAAGAAACAGCUGAAAAAAUAAAAAAGAAAGAAACAGCUGAAA